AGCUCCAAUAGCGUAUAUUAAAGUUGUUGCAGUUAAAAAGCUCGUAGUUGAACUUCAGGCCUGGUUGGGCGGUCUGCCUAACGGUAUGUACUGUCCGGCUGGGCCUUACCUCCAGGUGAACCGGCAUGUCCUUUAUUGGGUGUGUCGCAGAACUUGGACUUUUACCUUGAGAAAAUCAGAGUGUUCAAAGCAGGCCUAUGCCCGAAUGCAUUAGCAGGGAAUAAUAAAAUAGGACGUGUGGUUCUAUUUUGUUGGUUUCUAGAGUCGCCGUAAUGAUUAAUAGGGACAGUUGGGGGCAUUAGUAUUUGGUAGUCAGAGGUGAAAUUCUUGGAUUUACCAAAGACUAACUAUUGCGAAAGCAUCUGCCAAGGAUGUUUUCA
rnacentral:rRNA from 1 species